AAGGUUGAUAGGCUGCAUGUGUAAGCACGGUAACGUGUUCAGCUUGGCAGUACUAAUAGGCCGAGGGCUUGACCAUAUUUUCUUGGU
rnacentral:rRNA from 1 species